AGUAUUAUUAUUAAUAAUUUGAUCUGCAGUUGUGAGUUGGGCAGUGAGGUACUGUUCUGGAUUUUAGAGAUAGUUAGCAACUUAUCUUUUUUAAACAAAGAAUGGUCUUCUAGUCAGCACUCAGUCUGGAAGAUAUAUUUUUCACCUAAAGCCAUUGCACUCAGUAAGACAAAGACUUAUACUAGGUAAUGGCAGAACCACUUUGCUUUAGAGAAAAGCAUGAAGGGUGGAGGUGAGCGGUCUGGUUCAGAACAGUACAGAUUGGGGUGACAGGACAAGCCACUGCCUCCAAAAUUGGAGAAACUAACAGGUGAACAUAGAAAAUCAGAACUUACUGAAGUAGAAACCCACAAGUAGAAACAUCAGUGAGAACCAGUGUUGGUGUAGGAAAACCUGAACUAUAAUUGAUGAAUUGCUGGAGGAUCGGUGUGGCCCCAGUUCAACCACCAGAUGACUUCAUCCACUUGAGUGACCCUGGAAAAGAUUUGCAGAAGAAUUGCCCAGAUGAGCACCUAGCCCAAACUGGAGAACUGGGACCAAAAAAAAUGUUUGUUGUUUUAAGCCACGUUUUGUGGUGGUUUGUUAUGCAGCAAUGCAUGAUUGAAGUACAUUCCUAGCGUUUAAUUUAUUGAAUUUCAUUCAUGUUGUCCCUUAAGCAACAAUCUUACCUUGAUUUUUACUUGAAAUUGCUUCACUGCUGAUGCAUUAAGUAGCAAUGUGUAUUGAGUACUUUCUGCAGGCAGUGUGUGAUUACACACUUCCUACAUUCUUGGGCUUUACAAAAGGAAAUAACCAGGAAUGAGAGGCAUUCCUUGAUCUUGAUGAAUUACAGGUUCCUGUUUUGCCGGAUAGCUUAACUUAAUGUAGUGAAAUAAAGCGGACAAAGCUUGAAAAACAAACAAACAAACAAAAAAAAAAUAAAAGGAAAUAACCAGGAAAGUUUUUGUCCUUAUACAUUGAUAUAGUAAAUCAACACUACAGGUUAAGAACAGUCUUUUAAGAAUUUAUAGAAUAAUUUACAUUUCUCUCUGCCGCAUACAUGGACAUAUUUACCAAAGACCUAACAUUAGAAGGUUGUAAAGAAAAGCAAAGGAAUAUCAGGGGGGAAUUCUGAAGGAUGAGUUUUGACAGGAGCCUGGAGAAAGAAAAGCUCUGUGUACUAAUGAAGUUCUGAAUAAUAAACAGUGUCAAGGAAAAUUAGA